rnacentral:rRNA from 1 species
GGGUCAUGCCGGGGACUCUGGAGGGACUGCCGGUGUUAAACCGGAGGAAGGCGGGGAUGACGUCAAGUCCUCAUGGCCUUUAUGUCCAGGGCUGCACACGUGCUACAAUGGCGUGAACAAAGGGACGCAAACCCGCGAGGGGGAGCAAAUCCCAAAAAACACGCCCCAGUUCAGAUCGAAGCUGCAACUCGCCUUCGUGAAGCCCGAAUCGCUAGUAAUCGCAGUCAGCAACACUGCGGUGAAUGUGUUCCUGAGCCUUG